GACGAACGCUGGCGGCGUGCCUAAUACAUGCAAGUUGAGCGCUGAAGGUUGGUACUUGUACCAACUGGAUGAGCAGCGAACGGGUGAGUAACGCGUGGGGAAUCUGCCUUUGAGCGGGGGACAACAUUUGGAAACGAAUGCUAAUACCGCAUAAAAACUUUAAACACAAGUUUUAAGUUUGAAAGAUGCAAUUGCAUCACUCAAAGAUGAUCCCGCGUUGUAUUAGCUAGUUGGUGAGGUAAAGGCUCACCAAGGCGAUGAUACAUGGCCGACCUGAGAGGGUGAUCGGCCACAUUGGGACUGAGACACGGCCCAAACUCCUACGGGAGGCAGCAGUAGGGAAUCUUCGGCAAUGGACGAAAGUCUGACCGAGCAACGCCGCGUGAGUGAAGAAGGUUUUCGGAUCGUAAAACUCUGUUGGUAGAGAAGAACGUUGGUGAGAGUGGAAAGCUCAUCAAGUGACGGUAACUACCCAGAAAGGGACGGCUAACUACGUG
rnacentral:rRNA from 1 species